CCCCGUGUACUACUCAAGCUGGAUAUCGCGCGAGCGUUCAACUUUGUCUCUUGGCCCUUCCUACUUCGGGUGCUCCAACACAUGGGAAUUGGCCCGCGGUGGCGUGAGUGGAUUUCUAUUCUGAUCUCGACAGCCUCGACGCGCGUCCUGAUCAAUGGCACGCCGGGCCCCCCGAUUCCGCACGGCCAGGGCCUUCGCCAAGGGGAUCCGGUCUCCUCGAUGUUGUUCGUGCUGGUCAUCGACACGCUCAACACGUUGCUCCAGUUCGUCGUUCAGUCCGGCAUCAUCAAGCGGCUGACGCGCAGGCAUGCCCCGUCUAGCGUCUCUCUCUUUGCUGACGAUGUGAUCAUCUUUUGCCACCCCGACGAAUCUGAGCUCUCUGCUAUCAACUCUCUGCUUGAGCGCUUCGGCACUGCCUCGGGCUUGCGCACUAACUUCGCGAAGUGCCAGGCCGCCCUCAUCCAGUGCCCGGACGGCUUUGCGAGCAACGUCACCACCGCCCUCGCCUGCCCGGUGGUGCCCUUCCCCAUUCGCUACCUAGGCCUCCCUCUCUCGCUCAGGAAAGUUCCUACCGCCCACCUGCUUCCCCUGAUCGAGAAGCUUGGUCGCAAGCUUGCUACUUGGAAAGCUGCUCUGCUCAUCCGCGGCGAGCGGCUCAACUUGGUUCGUCAAGUUCUGAGUGCUAUGCCUGUCCACAUGCUCCUCGCCAUGGCUCUCUCCCCUGCCAUCCUGAAGCAGGCCAAUCGUAUCCUUCGUGAUUUCCUCUGGCAUGGGAGGAAGGACGUGCGCGCUGGUUCUUGCCUAGUUAGAUGGGCACGGGUUUGCCGCCCGAUCGAGCUGGGGGGUCUAGGCAUCCGCGACUUUCACCGCACUGGCAUCUCGCUUCGGACGCGUUGGCUUUGGCUCUAG
rnacentral:rRNA from 1 species